UGCUGCUGUUGCUUUGCUUUCUUCUUCUUCUUCUUCUUCUUCCUCUGACGUUUCCCCGCCCCGCCACGGAUCCGAGCUCUUCUCAAAACCCUAGCUCCCCGAACCUUCUCCGCCCCGGCGGCAAUGGAGGACGAGGAGAUGGAGAAGAAGGUGCACCAGUACCUGCAGCGGAAGGGCUUCCGCGUGGCGGGGCUCGCGCUGCUCGAGGACCGCACCCGCCUCUCCGCCACCACCACCACCACCACCACCGCCUCCUCCUCCUCCCACUCCCUCUCCGACGCCGCGCUCUCCAGGUCAGAAAACGAUCCAGCGAGGUACUAUGAUGGCUAUAGUAAACUAAGAACAUGGGCAUACAGUUAUCUUGAUCACUACAAGAUGGAGCAUUUACUUGAAGAGUCUUCUUUCGUGUAUUCUCUUCCAUCCAUCCAGUGCUGCCCACCUUCUGGAGAGCAAAAUAGUAUUCCUAUAAACAUCUGUACUUCCUACACAGGCAGAAAGUAUGUUUUGCUUCCUGCGAUUUGUAAUCAUGAAUUACUCCGCAUUCUUUAUCCACUAUUUUUCCACUGCUUCAUGGAUUUAGUGGCAGAGGGACAUACACAGGAAGCUUGCUCAUUUUUCCACACAUUUCGUGAAGACCAUGAACACUCGAGGGAUCUCAAGAAGCUGGAAAGCAUCCUUUCUCCUUUACAUUUGGAACAAAUGGAAGUGGCUCGAUCUUUAAGGCAGAAUAAAUUCAGAAUUAAGCUAUGUGAGUAUUCAUAUGAAUUGCUUCUCCAGUAUCUCCACAAAACACAAGCUCUUGUGGUGCUUGGAAUAAUCAAUGAACGCAUAGAUUUUCAAGUAUCCCCUGGGCAGUCUCCAUUAAUCAUUGAUGACUCGGAUGCUGUUGUUCUGAUUGGAACUAGCAAGGACUUGACAAAACAGAUAAAUCAGAAGGAGGUGCAUUGGGGGAUACUUGAAGAUUCACUUGAAGAACGUAUGGAGAAGGCAAUUUCAGAUUCUGAUAAAACUGAAAUAGAAAGCAAGGAUGCAGACACAGAAGACAACAAGAAAAGAUCCUCAGAAGGUGGAAAGCAGGGUGGCUCACAUAAAAAGAUCAAAAAGGACAAGUUUGUAGGAACCACAGGGAAAAACAUGAAAUCUGAAACUAGCAUGGUUUCUAUAGCACCACGAGUUAAACCAGAGCUAACGCUUCCAAUGACGUCUGUUGAAGUUGAGCAGUCAAUUCUUGAGGACUUGCGAAACCGUGCACAAUUGAAUAGCUUGUCAUUGCCAUCUGUUAGCUUCUAUACAUUCCUUAAUACACAUAAUGGGUUAAAUUGCUCAUCGAUUUCGCAUGAUGGUUCAUUGGUCGUUGGUGGAUUCGCUGAUUCAUCAGUGAAGGUUUGGGAUAUGUCAAAGAUUGGCCAGCCUUCCAAAGCAUCUUGUUCACAAGGCGAGAAUGGACCCUCCCAGAUUGAGCGGGUAUCGACAUCAGAUGAAGCGCGUAAAUCCUGUACAUUAUUCCAAGGUCAUUCUGGACCAGUUUAUUCUGCCAUGUUUAGCCCAAUUGGGGACUUCCUCUUGUCAUCAUCUGCAGACUCAACAAUUCGCUUAUGGAACACCAAGUUGAAUGCUAAUCUUGUUUGCUACAAAGGACACAACUACCCUGUUUGGGAUGUCCAAUUUAGUCCAGUUGGACAUUACUUUGCUAGUGCUUCGCAUGACAGGACUGCUAGAAUCUGGUCCAUGGAUAAAAUCCAGCCUUUGAGAAUAAUGGCUGGGCAUUUAUCUGAUGUUGAUUGUGUGCAAUGGCAUGUCAACUGCAACUACAUUGCCACUGGCUCUAGUGACAAAACAGUAAGACUAUGGGAUGUUCAAACAGGUGAAUGUAUAAGGAUGUUUAUUGGCCAUAGGAGUAUGGUUUUAUCAUUGGCAAUGUCUCCUGAUGGGCGAUACAUGGCCUCUGGAGAUGAAGAUGGAACAAUCAUGAUGUGGGAUAUAUCUUCUGGUCGUUGUGUUUCACCGCUAGUGGGACAUAACUCUUGUGUGUGGUCGCUUGCUUACAGCUGUGAAGGGGCAUUACUUGCAUCUGGAUCAGCCGACUGCACUGUAAAACUAUGGGAUGUCGCCUCCAGCACUAAGACUCUUAAGAUGGAUGAUACCAAAGGUGGUUCAGCUAACCGACUGAGGAUGCUGAAAGCCCUCCCUACAAAAUCAACCCCUGUUUACACUCUGCAGUUUUCUCGGAGGAAUCUUUUAUUUGCGGCUGGUGCUCCCUCACUUGGCUCCUAAGCUUCUCUUGUCUCAGUGAGAGAAGUGAAUGCCUAGAUCAAUGCUUGGUGGAAGUGGAACUAGAACCUUAGAAACUUUCAACUGUUUGCUAGAAUAUGUGUGUGCACCAUUUAUCCAAAUCCUUGUGUUGGCCAUACUCGCCAGAAAGACUGGACACACCAAACCACAUAAAAGCCUUGCAGGAGCUACCAUUGCUCUCUGAACAACACACAAGAAAGAUGAUGGUAGGAAGAUCAGAAGGGGUCACUUUUUUUGGGCUCGAUGACAUGAGUGGACAAAUCUACCCAAGCUAAGGAAGGGAUCCAUGCCGUCCAUCUUCAACAACACGCAAAUGAUCAAGAAAACAUGGCCGAAGUUGCUGCCCAACAAACCCUAGCUAGCGAGUUUCCUUGGAUGAAAGAAUAUUAGCACAUCAUCAUCAGAAAGCGAGCUUUGUCAUAUGCCCUAGCUACAAGACUAUAGGGAUAUGGACGCAUCUCACUUCACUUUACGGGUACCCAUUGUCACACACCAUAUACACAAUAAUAUAGGAUAAGUGAAUUUUAGUUGAUUUUGCUUAACUAGAUGGAUGGUAAGACUUUCUAGCAUUGUCCACAUACAUAUAGAUGUU